rnacentral:misc_RNA from 1 species
UAGAGUUGUAAAACUCCCAAAACCCAUGUGAACAUACCUCUGUUGCCUCGGUGGCCUACCCGGUAGUUACCCUGUAGUUACCCUGUAGUCUGCCGACGGACCACAAAACUCUGUUUUUUUUAAUAUCUCUGAGUCAACUAUAAAUAAGUUA